rnacentral:rRNA from 1 species
UACGUAGGGUGCAAGCGUUGUCCGGAAUUAUUGGGCGUAAAGGGCUCGUAGGCGGCCAACUAAGUCAGACGUGAAAUCCCUCGGCUUAACCGGGGAACUGCGUCUGAUACUGGAUGGCUUGAGGUUGGGAGAGGGAUGCGGAAUUCCAGGUGUAGCGGUGAAAUGCGUAGAUAUCUGGAGGAACACCGGUGGCGAAGGCGGCAUCCUGGACCAAUUCUGACGCUGAGGAGCGAAAGCCAGGGGAGCAAACGGG